rnacentral:siRNA from 1 species
UUUGGUAACCUUAAUGACGUC